AGCAGUGUGGCUCAGUGGAAAGAGUCUGGCCUUUGGAGUCAGAGGUCAUGAGUUCGAAACCCAAAUCUGCCA
rnacentral:tRNA from 1 species